AUAUAGAAACAUUUGAUUUUUCCAGUUGUGACCUGCAUUACUUCAACAAAAUUUCUGGAUAUCAGUACUGUCACCGAUUUAGGUUACUCUACUACAUUAAGCAAUUGAGAAGAAAUUCCUAUUCUUGAUAUGCCGAUAGAUAUUGUUGAUGACCUUUAUGAUGGGAGAUACUACAGAUCAAUUAUCGAGUGCGAAACCUACGAUGACUUCUACUUCUUGUGAAGAAAGUAACUAAGAAAACUUUUUUACUGUCUGCCCAUUAAUAAAGUUUAUUUUUGCAGAAGCUACUGAUGGUCAAGUGCCAAAUAUUCAUGACAUUUAAUGAAUAUUCUGCAAAAACCCUACGAAGUAUUAGACAUCCCCGUUGAGCAUGCUUUUACUACAGAAUCCCUGCAACCAGUAAAUGAAAUGCAGACCAAAAAUUAUGCCGACGUAGGACUUUGUACUGACCAUAGUGACAUAGAAAAUGAUCUCUUUCUGAGUCAGAUGCUGAAGAUAAUUAUAUUAAGAAUCAGAACGAAAAUAUUCAUGAUGUUUUCAAUGAAAAUCGGAGCAGCAUAAACAUUAAAAAGGGAAAAAAGAGAGUAAAGAAUGAUUCAGAAUAUAAAAACAAAUGUAAGACAACAAGCAGGAACUUGUGGAAAAGUAUAUAUCUCUAGUAGAAAAACAUCAGUUCGUGCUAGACAACUAAAGGCAAAAUGCAAAGAAACCCGUAAGCUUAAAUGUUUGGGUUAUUUUCGAAGUUAUUUUCGAGAAAGAGCGUAUAAUAUUUUAAAAGUAAUUUUGGAAUAACGAUAUUGUUUACGAUAGAAAGAGACCGUUUAUAGCAGCUUGUAUAGAAGAAACCCAGGUACAGUCAGUGACAGCGGUCCGAAAUGGAGCUAGAGAAGGUAAAAGAGCUGCUACAUACUUCUAUUCUUUAACUUGAAACCCCAUUUAGAAGAAUUUAAAAAAAAUCCCUGAAAUUUUGGACAUAUCUCAAAAUUUUGCAGAUUAUCCCUUCGAAAAACCAUUGCAGGUUGGAAAGGUCAUAGGUCUCAGAAUAAAGUACCGGAUGAAAUUCGACAAAAUAACAUGAAUGUGACCUAAAUGUGAUUAAAAUACACCCACUUUACUCUGACCAGUGUAUAGCGGAAAAAUUCCCGCUUGGCCAAAUUGGAAAGUUGUGGCUUUAUAGAAUUAUAUAUUCUCAGUUUAGCCUAAUAUUUAAAACACCUGUGAUGCCUAUUAGUAACAAAGAGCUGCUAAAAAUACGAAAAACAAAAAAGUUAUUACGAUUGAUCAUGAAAAAUGUUUGCCAAUUUCAUUCCUCAAAAAUGCACAAAGCUUCUACUCCCUUAAACAUUGAACCUUACAAUUCAUAGCUCAACCAUUAAUAACACCCUUUGUAUGAUGUGGGAUGAGACUGUUUCUGCUAGAUGUGGAAACGAAAUUUCGUCUUUAAUUUUAUUUUAAAAUGACUAUUAAUUUCCCCUCUAGAUAAUCAAAUUGAAGAGUUGGCAAUAUGAUCAGACAACUGUCCUUCCCAGAAUAGGAAUUUAAUGACUGUGAUGUGUUAUCUUUACAUUGUUUCUAUUUGCCCAAAGCUUAAAAUCAUCAACCAUAAACACCUACUAAGAGGGCACAUACAUCUUAAAGCAGAUACUGACAUUGUAUUAAUUGAGAGGCAAAAAAAGGAAGCUGCUUUUGAUAGAUAACCACUCCAAGGGCAACUUGUAAGAAUUAGCUCUCGAAAGUUCUCUGUAAUUAAUAUGGGUACAAAUGAUUUCUUGGACUCGGAGUUUUGUAUUAUUUUAUAUUAUUAUAUUAUUAUAGAAUUUCUAUAACCAUGUUACAUAAGCAGCCUGAUAGGUAAAAACGAACACCACACUCUAAAAUGGCCUUCCCCCAAAAGCAUUCAACUCGUGUUCGCACUAAGAUCGAGAUCAUGCGCGUUCGCCUGGACGGCUACAUCCAUGGAAGUUUUGGACUGUCGUGAACCGCGAUUUUUUUCAAAUCCGACGCUUACAGUCGAAUUGAGAGAGCUCUGGGCAUUUUGCAACUGUUUGAUCUCCGGGCAGCUGGAACUGUCGCUGUGGUGGCCUUUUUGAUGGCGAGCCUCGCACGAACCCGAAUCGGAGCUGUAUUUUUUUCUGUAAAUAAAUUUAAUAGAGAAAAGUGAAGUUUUGGCUCAUAGUUUCGAAAAGUAAAGAUAAUGUUUAAUGACAAAUUUAUUAUGUUUUAGUAUUACCACAGAUUAAAUAUUAACAGAUACGAAAGUAAAGCGAGAUCGCCGAUUUCAAAACAUCUUUUAGUCACGCCUCUCCAGAAGCCGCCGGCGUCUUGUCGCAGAGUACAGGAGCCAGUCCUCGCGAGUGUGUAUUGCGUCUAAUUUCAAAUCGCACAUUUGUGCGUAGGCAUGUAGCUAUUUUAUCAAAAUGAUUGUGCAUAAAUGUAUUUAAGGUUCCAAUAAAACUGAUAAACGAAAGUCACUUUUUGGAUUUUUAAGAAAUUAGGCAAAAGACAAAGUACCCUCAUAGAAAAUAGUCGCAAGGAUUUAGGUCUGGUGACCUGGCCGGCCACGCUAUUGGCCCUCUUCGUUCUAUUUAUCUUCCUGGGAACACUGUCUGGUCUUGUUCGUCUGAGUAUGGGGCAGCCAAAGGAGGGAUAAGAUCUUCUUGAAGAAAAUUCAAAUAGCGUUGUCCUGUUAAGUUUUCUUCGAAAAAGUAUGGCCCUAUUACUUUAUUUUCCACGAUACUUAUUAUUUAAAUGUAAUAUAUUUCUUAUUCUUAUUA
rnacentral:lncRNA from 1 species